UGACCCUUUGGUUAAUAACCUCACCUUUUUGGGGAGCUCAGGUUUUCCCUAGAUAUGUACCAUACUCCUCUUCCUACAAUUUAGGAGAAGGAUCCCUAAGUUGAGACAGGGACAAAAUGAAGUUCUCAUAUUGCUGUCAUGAUAACGGGUACGAAUGAAGUGACCAAAGACAUACUCUGCGUGAGCAAAAGGAUUCGGCUCUGCCCGCCUGAGAGCUCAGCUAAUGGGAUUGGUGAACUAGAAGGACUUCUUGAGAGGAGAAGGAAGGAAGCAGGUUGAUCUCCAGCCUGAAGGAGGAGCACAGGAAAGCACAGAAGUGUGAAGGAAAAAGGUUAACUAGGAUUUCAAAGCCCAGUCUGGCUGAGCAUCUCUGGAGGUUGGCAGCUGUUGGAUUUUGGUGUCUGUGUGCCAGUUAUUUGCUCUCCCAACAAUGUGUUAGGAUAAUCACCCACUGAAGGAUUUCAACACAUUACAUUUCCCCAGAAGCCUUUGUCUAACAAGGUCUGGAGGCUGGAGGUCCAAGAUCAGGGUGCCAGCAUGGUCCGGUUCUGGUUUCAGAACAUACAAGGGCUAGAAGAACAAGAUAAAUGAUACUACAGGGGAAAAACAUCAGACAGUUUCAGAAUUGUGAUACAUUCUACAGGACAACUGGCCAGGAUCCUCCUACUGAUAAUUAUCCAACAAUAAUGAGUCUUCCAAUUAGUCUAACGCUUCCCACAUCUGCUAUAUGGCCAUUGGCCAUCGCCGCAGCCUCAGUCAGGCAGGCCUCAGGCCCAUUUUGUGGAUGGAGAACUGGUGCUCUGCCCAGAGAAGAGAGCCAGCUGCCUUGCCUCAGCCACACAGCUUAUAAGUACUCAGGGAAGAACACAGCAUUCUUUCCCCAACACCUGUGUUUCUCAAUUCCCCUUCACCUCCAGCCCACCUCGUCCCAACUCUGAUGCCUCCAAUGCGGAAAUCAUUUUGAUUUCGUUUUUGUAACUGCAGUUAGGAGAACAGCUGAAACAGAACACACGCAGAAAAAUUGAAACCCACCCCACAUCUCGGUUCUGAUUUACCUAUUUGUAGAUUUGAGUCAUUGGCUACCAUCUGCUGAACCAGCUACCUGACUGUAUCCUCGGGGCGCCGUGGCUGACUCAAUUUGCUCCCUUUGCCUGGUGAAGGAGGACACACUCAAAGGCAAACCUGCUCACUCCGCAGUUUGCUCUUGAUUAUUCACUAAGACUUUCAAGACUUCUGUCUUAAGUGUCAAUAGAAGAACCCAAGUCUGAAUGUGGCCCUUUGUGCCCAACAUCUAGCCCAAUACCAGACACAGCCAAAUUCUUAGGUAGCUUUUCUUCUGAGGAUGUCUUUCCAGCACUUUUUGUCUUCAAAUAUUGACCCAACUUGAAGGGACACCCACAAAGCUGGGACAGCUUAAGCAUCAAAAUGAAUAACUGAUUGUAAAGGAUUGAAGCUCAUUGAAUAUCUAAAAAUCCAUGAGUCCACAAUGAUACUCAAAAAGAGAAAGCAAGCAAACAAGCAAGUAGAUUCUCACUUGUUAUAAUUGGAGUCUGCCAUUACACCAACUCCUUAUUCUGAAAAUAGGUAAAUAACUCUAUUUUAGGCAUUAAGCUCCAGUUGGUGAGGUAUGGUCUUCUUUAUGGAUGAAUACUGAGUAGUAAAUGUAGAAGAAAUGGUAAAAUUAGAAAAUCACCACUUGGCAAUCCCUAAAGAAAUAGUAGAUUCAAGCAAGAAUCAUUUAUGGACAAUAGGGGAAAUGUUGAUAGGGAAUUACAUUCACCUGGUGUCAAAGUACUAGCUCUCCCACACCAGAUUUCUCAGUAGUCACAAGAGGAAAACGUGGGGCAUCAGGUUAUGUGACAUAGACCCAAGAUCAGUCCUAGCACUACAAAAAUAGGACAGCCAGACAUUGUAUAUCUCUUGACAAGAUGCAAUAUAAAGUACCCAACAUGACCUAUAAAAUAUUCUCUUCAAAAAUAUUUCACCCAAAUCUAGUCAAGUCUUUAGAUACUACUUCCAAGUUACAGGAAAUAUAGGAGGUAGAAAAACAAGAUAAAUGACAUCACAAAAGGAGAAAAAAUCAAAUUACUCGAGAAUUGUGAUACAUUCUACAGGACAACUGGUCUUUUAUCCUCCGUAAAUCAGUGCCAUGAAAAUGAAGAGGAAACAAAGAGAUGGAUCCUAGCAUAGAUAAUCUACAAGAAUUAGAAUUAUGGGAUUCUCUCAAUUUCAGGAAGCUCACUUUCUUUCUAGAACAGUGCUCAGUGCAAGAACCAGGCUAUACUGAGCACUCAAUACGUAUGUGUUGAAUGAAAGAAUGAAUAGCAAGUGACUGAAUUCUAUAGAGGAGAUCAAACAGGCUCAGAGAGGUGGGUGCUGUGCCCAAUGUCAGGCAGCUGGUCAGUGGCAGAGCCAGGGCUAAAACUUCAUCUAUUAGCACUAACCUAGUGCUUGUUCCAUAAUUCUCUGUUUUUGCUUUUUCGUGUAUAAUUUAGUUCUAGAUUUAAAAAGACUAAGGAGACAUAACAGCCUUAUGUGCCCUACGAGACAAAUGUAAUGUGUGGUUUCUGGUUGGAUCCUGGUUUGAAUAAGCCAGCUGUAAAAGAUAUUCUGAGAACAACUGAGAAACUGAACACACACUGGUCCUAGAUGACGUUGAGGCAUCUCUGACAAUUCUGUCAGGUGAGAUAACGGUAUUGUGGUUACACAGGAAGUGGUCUGUCCUUAUUUUCUAGAGACACACACUAAAAUUUUUCGGGGUAAAAGUCAUGACAUUGCGGUAAUUUUCUUUAAAAUACUCCAGCACAAAAAACUUGGUCAAGCAUUUAUGCUAACAUGCUGAUAAGUAUUAAAUCUAGGAAAUGGGUACGUGAGUAUUUAUUAGACUAUUCUUUCUUUUGUUUGAAAAUGUUCAUACUAAGAUGAUAAAGAGAGAUCAGACAGACAGACAGUAGACAGCCAGCCAGCAAAAGCCUGGAGUUCUUUGAUUUCUCAAUGUUCCUACUGA